UUAAAUCUCUUUAUGUGAGUUGUGUACUCAUUAGCACAUAUUCCCCAGUGGCUCGGUAGAGGUGUGAAAUGAUUCUGCCGCGGAUUAUACAGUACGUGAAUUAUUCUCUUCGGGAGGGAAAGGGUUUCCCCCGAAUUCCAGAUGCCAGGAUGUGAGAGAGGGAGGGACGGGUUUCAAACUUCCCUACGUGCAGUAAGUCACGGCGAUUCUCAAAGCCGAUGUCUCCUGAACCGCCGGAGCCAGACAGAAACUCCCAGCGCACUCAAGGAGAGGAGACAGUCCGCCUCCAACGUGAACAGCUCUUUUCAACAGGAGGAUACCAAUGCCACAAGGUCACCUCACCGUGUCCACGCAGAGAGCAGCACAGACCUCCACUGAACUUCACAGGGGCUGACGCUUUGUGCUGUACCGAAGCCCGUCUUUGACAGGGAAGAGAAGAGCAGGAUCCAGCAUUUGCCUGAGACGUAGACCUCUCACAGACGCGUGCCCUUGCUUUAACUGAAUUUGUAUUCUUCGACUUGAACUAGUUGUAAGAGCUUCUCCAACCUCCCCUGCCCAGGAACUGGUGUUACAGUAUGUUGUGCAGACUUCAUAUGCAAAAGUCCAUCCAUCCACAGGGCCACAUCACCAGAACAGCUUGUAGGGAACCUAGCCAUCCUGCUCAUGGGUAAGUGAUAAGAUAGGGAUCCCAGAUGCCUUUUUGAAGGACUGCCAAAAAAAAGUGUAUCCUUCAGUCAGAAAACCCCACCCCAUAUUUCUGUCAAACUGCCCAUCCCUUUAGGAAGACAGUUCUAUUCCAAAUCAUCUACCUGGGUCUUGUCCCCAUUCUAAUUUAGUCUAAAUUGUAAAACCCUGGGGUGAUAUUCAAUUCUGGCUUAACA